rnacentral:rRNA from 1 species
GACUUCCCCGCUGUCUCCAGCAUAGACUCAGUGAAAUUGAAUUCCCCGUGAAGAUGCGGGGUUCCUGCGGUUAGACGGAAAGACCCCGUGCACCUUUACUAUAGCUUUACAUUGGCAUUCGUAGCGGCAUGUGUAGGAUAGGUGGUAGGCUUUGAAGCCGGGGCGCCAGCCUUGGUGGAGCCACCCUUGAAAUACCACCCUUAUCUCUAUGGAUGUCUAACCGCGGCCCGUUAUCCGGGUCCGGGACAAUGU